CAUCAUCACUUCGACGCUUGAACGGCCAUUGCGAGGAAAGAAGUAAACAGGUGCGACGGUGGAGAUCCAUUUCUUACAAAUAUUGCAAUAUUGCUGUAGAUGGGAAGUCGGAGAAAGAUUAAGCAAGUAGGAUGUGGACUUGAUUUUACAGCUGACACUGUGAUGUACCGUAAACGAAGAGCACUGCAUGAUUGUGAAAGUUUGAAGAAGAAAACAAUGUGCGAAAUUAAUGGUUGACCGAUAUGUAUAGUGGUCUGAAGCUUUGCCAGUGACACCUCAUAGGACUGAGCAAGGAUCCUGUCAUGUGGUCUUCCCUUGAGGAGUCUUCUGUAUUUGAAAUAUUCCUCAGCAACGGGGUCACCGGGUAGAAGGCUGUGUAUUUUCC